rnacentral:pre_miRNA from 1 species
UGACUUUGGUCAAAGUCAAGCUGCUUCAAGUUUGACCAAGUUUAUAGAAAAAAAUAGUUAUAUUCUCAACCCAAGAUAAAUUCAUUAUAAAAAUAUAUUUAAUUAUUAAUUUAAUAAAACUAAUUUGGUAAUGUAAAUAUUACUAUAUUUGUCUAUAAACUUAGUCAAACUUGAAGCAGCUUGACUUUGACCAAAGUCAA